rnacentral:siRNA from 1 species
AGGAUUCCGUUGGACUGGGAUAGC